UUUAGUGAAUUUUAUGUUCCUUGAUCCGAACCAAACGGCCGAACCUAAGGACAAUAUUCCAUAUGUGAGAAGAAAGAUCUUCUUGAUCCGAACCAAGCGGCCGAAACUAAGGACAAUAUUUCAUAUGUGAGAAGACAGAACUCCUUGAUCCAAACCAAGCGGCGGAAAGUAAGGACAAUAUUUCAUAUGUGAGAAGAGAGAGUUCCUUGAUCCGAACCAAGCGGCCAAAACUAAGGACAAUAUUUCAUAUGUGAGAAGAGAGAGCUCCUUGAUCCGAACCAAGCGGCCGAAACUAAGGAGAUGAGACCAUCAUCAUAUCUCACCUUCUCACCUGGGCAAGUCUGAUCGCUGGCCUCCUUGCUUCUUCUUUUUUUUGUGUGUUCGUAUGCGCGUAUUGUGACUAGCAGCAGCAGGAGAUGAAUGGAUGCCGGCAGCGAGUGUAAAAAAUGGA
rnacentral:lncRNA from 1 species